rnacentral:lncRNA from 1 species
CGGUGUAGCACGAUGGAAUCUGGUGGCUUAAACCUAGCUGUCCACAUUUCACUAUCUGAAGAGCAGAAAAUGUGUUAAUAGGAGCCUGGUGAGUGGAGGAGACUGAAGAUGGAGAGAGAGCCUGGACCUCAACAUGAGCAUCUGGAGCCAUUUGGCAGCAUUAGGCUGUGACCGCUUAGAGAACCGAAAGGUGCAGAGCUUUAAAGGAUUAUGGAGUCUGAAGACCAAAUGGGAUGAUGGAGAACAGCUAUUCAGUGGUACAAAUGUAAAUGCUCCCAGGCCCGGGCAGAAAAGAGAAAACAUUUCCAUGGAAGAGGAAACAGGAAAUUCCAACAGAUCAGCAACAGUUGGAGUGCUAACCUGUCACUGGAAUGGGAAAAAAAAUGCUGUCGUUGACACAUCUUUUCCUUGUUUUUGACACAAAUUAGAAACACCACCUGGAACACAGCUGUGACUUGAUAAACAAGUGAAACAUUCUUUGGUGUGGUGAGGGGAAAACAAAUUUCUCAAAGGACACGCACCAUGGUGUAUGAGAGGACACUGGAGCCCAGCCAGCAUCUGACAUGCUGAAUUCAAAGUGCAGGUGAAAGUAGGACAACUGAUUCACAAGCUGGGAUGCCUGUGUUGUUGUUUGCCAGUGUGCGUGUGUGUGUUUUCCUGGCACCCUUCAUUCAUUCCCCAGCACAGUUGACAUCAGGUUGGAAGCAGUGAGUUCUGAGGGAGACUGCUAGAGGACCCAACUUGGAGAAUCAACGAUCUGCGAUGAAGAUAAUGAAGAUAAAGACAAUGUCAAUGUCAGCGUCCAAAAUCAUAAGGACCCUUUAAGAAGCUUCCAGAGCAGAAGUGACUGUGCAAGAAGGGCCAAUAAAGUCUAGGCAAUGCACGACCAGGCGCGGUCGCUCACGCCUGUAAUCCCAGCACUUUGGGAGGCCGAGGUGGUUGGAUUACCUGAGGUUAGGAGUUUGAGACCAGCCUGACCAACAUAGUUUCACCCCAUCUCUACUAAAAAAAAAAAAAAAAACAAAACAAAAGUUAGCCAGGUGUGGUGCUGCACACCUGUAAUCCCAGCUACUCUGGAAGCUGAGGCAGGAGAAUCGCUUGAACCCAGGAGGCGGAGGUGGCAGUGAGCUGAGAUUGCACCGCUGCACUCCAGCCUGGGCGACAGAGUGAGACUCUGUCUCAAAAAUAAAUAAAUAAAUAAAUAAUAAAGUCUAGGCAAUGCAGCAGACUGCAGACAAAUGGGUCUCCAGACUCAUGAGCACUUGGCUUUUGUUACUCUCACCUCCACCACCCUUUACCUGGUUCUAUAUCUGUCCUUUGGACCUUCCUGCAUUUACCUUCCUGCUUUUGCUCCUUAGUCUGGUUUUGUCCCAGAAUUUACUCUCCUACUGCCCGCUCUCCUGUCCCUGAUGGUUCAUAGUUUCUUACUAUCAGGGAGAAACCCUGAUAUUGACUUGGCCCAGCAGUAAUUCUGUCCAUGCAAUUCUCUUGCAUGGGCUGUGACAGGCAGACACCUCACUAAUUAGAUCAGCACAGGGGUCUGCAUACAUUUAGUGUGGGGACCUCCAGCCCAUCCUGGAGCGCACAAAUUUAGUUCAGCACCAUUCAGCUGCUGAAAUUUGAUGCAGUGGCCCUGGAUGACCAAAGAAUGUGGUGAUAAUUCUAAACAGGGUGUGUUCAUUAAGUGAAGGAAAUGUAGAAUACGUUUUAGAUGAAAAAGAAAUUUUUAAGUUUGGAGGGUAAAGAUCAAUCAUCCGUAAAACUAACUGAUAUAUAACAGUUCAUUUUUGUUGAUACUAGAUAAAUAAGGAGUGAAGACAUUUUCAGAAUUACAAUGGCAUUUAUCUGCCUUCAUUAAAUUAAGCUCAGGAAACUAAUGCAGACUCCAAAUUGCCCACAGUCUAACACAGUCUCUGCAUCUGCGGUUAACAAAAUUAAAUUUGGGAAAAUCAAGAGUAAGACUUUUAAUGUUUCUACCACCUGUCAGCCUGGAAAGUUUUCUUAGUUUUUCUUUUUGGAGAGGCAUUUGAGAUUUGUGUUCCUGUCAACUUGAGAGAGGAAUGGAGGAAGUCAAAGGGAAGAAGAGGAGCUGAUGUUGCAGUCCGAGGGGAAACAGGAGUGAGGGCAGGGAGCCCAGAAGAGGGUCAGGGUGAAGA